rnacentral:rRNA from 1 species
AACUUCUGAAUGUUGACCUCGGAUCAGGUAGGAAUACCCGCUGACUUAAGCAUAUCAAUAAGCGGAGGAAAAGAAACCAACAGGGAUUGCCCUAGUAACGGCGAGUGAAGCGGCAACAGCUCAAAUUUGAAAUCUGGCUCUCGGGCCCGAGUUGUAAUUUGUAGAGGAUACUUUUGAUGCGGUGCCUUCCGAGUUCCCUGGAACGGGACGCCAUAGAGGGUGAGAGCCCCGUCUGGUUGGAUGCCAAAUCUCUGUAAAGUUCCUUCAACGAGUCGAGUAGUUUGGGAAUGCUGCUCUAAAUGGGAGGUAUAUGUCUUCUAAAGCUAAAUACCGGCCAGAGACCGAUAGCGCACAAGUAGAGUGAUCGAAAGAUGAAAAGCACUUUGAAAAGAGAGUUAAAAAGUACGUGAAAUUGUUGAAAGGGAAGCGUUUAUGACCAGACUUGGGCUUGGUUAAUCAUCUGGGGUUCUCCCCAGUGCACUUUUCCAGUCCAGGCCAGCAUCAGUUUUCCCCGGGGGAUAAAGGCGGCGGGAAUGUGGCUCUCUUCGGGGAGUGUUAUAGCCCACCGUGUAAUACCCUGGGGGGGACUGAGGUUCGCGCAUCUGCAAGGAUGCUGCGUAAUGACAU